rnacentral:rRNA from 1 species
GUCAGGUAGUAAGGGCGCAGGGCGGAUGCCUUGGCUCUGGGAAGCGAAGAAGGACGUGGCCAGCUGCGAUAAGCCUCGGGGAAGAGCAAACAUCUUUUGAUCCGGGGAUUUCCGAAUGGGGCAACCCGCAUGGCUGUUGAGGCCAUGCACUGUUGAGUGAAUACAUAGCUCAUCAGGGCGAACUUGGGGAACUGAAACAUCUCAGUACCCAAAGGAAUAGAAAUCAACCGAGAUUCUGCUAGUAGCGGCGAGCGAACGCGGAAGAGCCCAAACCACCGGGUACGCCCGGUGGGGUUGUAGGGCCGCCAACAAAGGAUAAUUGGAGGAUUAGCUGAAGUGUCUGGGAAGGCACGGCAUAGAGGGUUAGACCCCCGUAAGCGAAAGUCUGAAGAUGUCCGAGGCGGUACCUGAGUAGGACGGGACACGAGAAAUCCUGUUUGAAUCUGGGGGGACCACCCUCCAAGGCUAAAUAUUACCCAGAGACCGAUAGUGUACCAGUACCGUGAGGGAAAGGUGAAAAGAACCUCGAACAGAGGAGUGAAAUAGUUCCUGAAACCCUGCGUCUACAAGCAGUGGAAGCAAUGCUGAUCUUCGGAUCACGUGCGACCGCGUGCCUUUUGCAUAAUGAGCCAACGAGUUGUCUGUCGGUGGCAGGUUAAGUUUAUAACGAAGCCACAGCGAAAGCGAGUUCGAAAUGAGCGUUCAGUCCCCGGCAACAGACCCGAAACCGAGUGAUCUACCCCUGUCCAGGUUGAAGCCUGGGUAAGACCAGGUGGAAGACCGAACCGUUGAGCCUUAAAACGUUCUCGGAUGAGGUGGGGGUAGGAGUGAAAGGCUAAUCAAACUCGGAGAUAGCUGGUUCUCCCCGAAAUAUAUUGAGGUAUAGCCUCGUGAUAGACCGCCGGAGGUAGAGCACUGGAUGGACUAGGGCCCUCACCAGGGUACCAAACCCAACCAAACUACGAAUACCGGUGAGUUGUUUCACGGGAGUCAGACAGCGGGAGCUAACUUUCGUUGUCGAAAGGGAAACAACCCAGACCAUCAGCUAAGGCCCCCAAGUCAUGACUAAGUGGGAAAGGAAGUGGGAGCGCCCAGACAACCAGGAGGUUGGCUUAGAAGCAGCCACCCUUUAAAGAAAGCGUAACAGCUCACUGGUCGAGCGAGCCUGCACCGAAAAUUUAACGGGGCUCAAGUCGUGUGCCGAAGCUAUGGGAUUUAUAUUUAUAUAAAUCGGUAGGGGAGCGUUCCCUGUGCAGUGAAGCUGAAUCGAAAGGGUCAGUGGAGCGCAGGGAAGUGAGGAUGUUGGCAUAAGUAACGAAAAUGUGGGCGAGAAACCCACACGCCGAAAGCCCAAGGUUUCCCGGGCCAUGUUAUUCAGCCCGGGGUUAGUCGGCACCUAAGACGAGGCCGAAAGGCGUAGUCGACGGAAAACCGGUUCAUAUUCCGGUACUUGCAUGUGCGCGUGAUGGAGGGACGCAGGAGGAUAGGCCGGCCUGGUGAUGGAUAUCCAGGUUCAAGGCCGUAGGCGGAAGUCUCAGGUAAAUCCGGGACUUUAUCUAACGCCGAGAGUCGAUGACGAGAGGCUUUGCUUCGCAAAGCGGUCGAUUCCACACUGCCAAGAAAAGCUUCUAAGCAUAGCAGAUGCAAACCGUACCCCAAACCGACACAGGUGGGCGGGUAGAGAAUACCAAGGCGCUUGAGGGAAAUCAUGUUAAGGAACUCUGCAAAAUAACUCCGUAACUUCGGAAGAAGGAGUGCCUGCAGCGGUGAAGGGACUUGCUCCUGGAGCUUAAGCGGGCCGCAGUGACCAGGCCCAGCCGACUGUUUAGCAAAAACACAGCACUCUGCUAAAUCGCAAGAUGAUGUAUAGGGUGUGACGCCUGCCCGGUGCCGGAAGGUUAAUGGGAGGGGUUAGGUCUUCGGACCGAAGCUCCGAACUGAAGCCCCGGUAAACGGCGGCCGUAACUAUAACGGUCCUAAGGUAGCGAAAUUCCUUGUCGGUU